rnacentral:rRNA from 1 species
AUUGAACGCUGGCGGCAUGCCUUACACAUGCAAGUCGAACGGCAGCACGGGAGCAAUCCUGGUGGCGAGUGGCGAACGGGUGAGUAAUAUAUCGGAACGUGCCCAGUCGUGGGGGAUAACGUAGCGAAAGCUACGCUAAUACCGCAUACGAUCUACGGAUGAAAGCGGGGGAUCGCAAGACCUCGCGCGAUUGGAGCGGCCGAUAUCAGAUUAGGUAGUUGGUGAGGUAAAGGCUCACCAAGCCGACGAUCUGUAGCUGGUCUGAGAGGACGACCAGCCACACUGGGACUGAGACACGGCCCAGACUCCUACGGGAGGCAGCAGUGGGGGAAUUUUUGGGACAAUGGGCGCAAGCCUGAUCCAGCAAUGCCGCGUGCAGGAUGAAGGCCUCCGGGUUGUAAACUGCUUUUUGUACGGAACGAAACGGUGAGCUCUAAUACAGUUUGCU